rnacentral:rRNA from 1 species
GGGUCCGGACACACUGAGGAUUGACAGGUAUUAUAUAGCGCGCUUGCGCGUCUAUUGUUAAAUAUGCUAGUCCUUUCAUGAUUAUGUGAUAGGUGGUGCAUGGCCGUUCUUAGUUCGUGGAGUGAUCUGUCUGCUUAAUUGCGUUUCAGAUAAGGAUCUAUAUUCUUUACAGAAAUGUUGCGUUUUGCCCUUUUUCCCCCCUUCGUCCGCGAGUGCCUUUUUUUUCCCGCUCGCACUCUUCUUACAUUACGUCCUGAAAGCAACGAACGUGACCCCACCCUCUUGUUGCCUCCUCUCCCUACUUUUUUAGCACUUCGGUGUUAAAUAAUUUCAUUGAGGCUUUCCAAAACUAGAGGGACCGCUGUCAACUUCUUAAACCAGAGGAAGGUUGCGGCAAUAACAGGUCUGUGAUGCCCUUAGAUGUUCCGGGCUGCACACGUGCUACAAUGAUUGUUGCAGUGAGCAUCUCAAUUUUUUACCUAACACCGCACACGUGAGUGCAUACUUGGAUGUUUCUUUUCGCCGGCGAAAAAGCCUCCUCCAAAACCAGGGGGGUAACCAAUAAGAAGCAACGUUUCCCAAAAUCACCCCCUUAUAUGGCGCUUUUGCCCCCGGGCAACAACUUGUGGCACCUCCGCGCGGGAGAAUUUUU